AUUGAACGCUGGCGGCAGGCCUAACACAUGCAAGUCGAACGAGUGGCGGACGGGUGAGUAAUGUCUGGGAAACUGCCCGAGGGAGGGGGAUAACUACUGGAAACGGUAGCUAAAACCGCAUACGCUCGGAUGUGCCCAGAUGGGAUUGGCUAGUAGGUGGGGUAACGGCGCACCUAGGCGACGAUCCCUAGCAGGUCUGAGAGGAUGACCAGCCACACUGUAACGGAGACACGGUCCAGACUCCUACGGGAGGCAGCAGUGGGGAAUAUUGCACAAUGGGCGCAAGCCUGAUGCAGCCAUGCCGCGUGUAUGAAGAAGGCCUUCGGGUUGUAAAGUACUUUCAGCGGAGAAGCGGUACCCGAAGAAGAAGCACCGGCUAACUCCGUGCCAGCAGCCGCGGUAAUAG
rnacentral:rRNA from 1 species